UACGUAGGGUGCAAGCGUUGUCCGGAAUUAUUGAGCGUAAAGGGCUCGUAGGCGGUCUGUCGCGUCAGGAGUGAAAACUCGGGGCUUAACCCCGAGCCUGCUUCUGAUACGGGCAGACUAGAGGUAUGCAGGGGAGAAUGGAAUUCCUGGUGUAGCGGUGAAAUGCGCAGAUAUCAGGAGGAACACCGGUGGCGAAGGCGGUUCUCUGGGCAUUACCUGACGCUGAGGAGCGAAAGUGUGGGGAGCGAACAGG
rnacentral:rRNA from 1 species